GCGGGAGGCCUAACCUGCAAGCCGAGCGGUAUUUCUUCUUCGGAACAUUGAGAGCGGCGUACGGGUGCGUAACACGUGUGCAACCUACCUUUAUCUGGGGAAUAGCCUUUCGAAAGGAAGAUUAAUACCCCAUAAUAUAUUGAAUGGCAUCAUUUGAUAUUGAAAACUCCGGUGGAUAGAGAUGGGCACGCGCAAGAUUAGAUAGUUGGUGAGGUAACGGCUCACCAAGUCAAUGAUCUUUAGGGGUCCUGAGAGGGAGAUCCCCCACACUGGUACUGAGACACGGACCAGACUCCUACGGGAGGCAGCAGUGAGGAAUAUUGGACAAUGGGUGAAAGCCUGAUCCAGCCAUCCCGCGUGAAGGAUGACGGUCCUAUGGAUUGUAAACUUCUUUUGUACAGGAAUAAACCUACUCUCGUGAGGGUAGCUGAAGGUACUGUACGAAUAAGCACCGGCUAACUCCGUGCCAGCAGCCGCGGUAAUACGGAGGGUGCAAGCGUUAUCCGGAUUUAUUGGGUUUAAAGGGUCCGUAGGCGGACCUGUAAGUCAGUGGUGAAAUCUCAUAGCUUAACUAUGAAACUGCCAUUGAUACUGCCGGUCUUGAGUAAAUUUGAAGUGGCUGGAAUAAGAGUGUAGCG
rnacentral:rRNA from 1 species